UAUUCAGAGGCUUUGCUUGGCUCCUUCUACCAUCUGACCUUCACUCCACAGCACAGGGAAGCCUGACAGUGUUAGCCAACUGCUGGAAGUGUCCAUGUGUGUUACACAUCCAGGAAACAGAGUUAACCACUGGCUUGGACCUUGGCUCAGGCCAUAGCUCCAAUUGCUACUUGGCCUCUAAGGCCUUGUAACUGUGAAUCACAGCGCUGCUUUGUGUCUUGCUAUGGGUGUCAUUUGAGACCUCAUCUCAGCCUCCAGCCGUCCUGAAAUUGUGGUGAAGGGGCAAACACAUCAGCGUGGAGCACUGCUGUGAAUCCUAAGACAUACAAGAGAGUGAACUACAUGUAAUGAAGUUGGAGUAAAGUCCUCAGACUGAGCGCACAUGGAGGUAAAGGAGACGCCUCCCAACCAGCUGACUGCUGCCUCCUGAGAGUCCGUGAGAGGGAUGAGAGGAACGGCACUCCGAAACCAGGGCUCCCCGUAGCUGAAGGCCUCUGCUUGCUUUCCUAGUGCUUUGUAGAAUCAGAGAACUUUCUGUGUCUAUCCAUAUGGUUCUUUCCUUCAUUUAAAAUUUCCAGUCCUGCUUUGCUUGUUCUUGAAAGGAAUAAAAUGAUCAUCCUCA